rnacentral:rRNA from 1 species
UGAGUACGAGAUGCUACGGCAUCGAAGCGGUCUAUGUCAUACUUCCAAGAAAAGCUUGCAAUGUCAUAAACAAAUAAUGCCUGUACCAUAACCGACACAGGUGGGUAGGUAGAGUAUACUAAGGGGCGCGAGAUAACUCUCUCUAAGGAACUCGGCAAAAUGACUCCGUAACUUCGGGAGAAGGAGUGCCUUAUUUUUAUAAGGUUGCAAUAACAAGAUCCAAGCAACUGUUUACCAAAAACACAGGUCUCCGCUAAGUCGUAAGACGAUGUAUGGGGGCUGACGCCUGCCCAGUGCCAGAAGGUUAAAGAAGUUGGUUAGCAUUAGCGAAGCUGAUAACUGAAGCCCUGGUGAACGGCGGCCGUAACGAUAACGGUCCUAAGGUAGCGAAAUUCCUUGUCGGGUAAGUUCCGACCCGCACGAAAGGCGUAAUGAUUUGGAUACUGUCUCGGAGAGGGGCUCGGUGAAAUAGACUUGUCUGUGAAGAUGCGGACUACCUGCACCUGGACAGAAAGACCCUAUGAAGCUUUACUGUAACUUGAGAUUGAAAUUGGACUUUAUCUGCGCAGUAUAGGUGGGACACGUUGAAAAUAUUCUUGCGGGAAUAUCGGAGUCAUCAGUGAGAUACCACUCUUAUAAUGUUAGAUUUCUAACUUUGUAUCAUUAUCUGGUCAAAGAACAGUUUCAGGCGGGCAGUUUGACUGGGGCGGUCGCCUCCCAAACGGUAACGGAGGCGCACAAAGGUUUCCUCUGAACGUGUAGAAAUCGUAUCUAGAGUGUAAAGGCAUAAGGAAGCUUGACUGUGAGACCUACAAGUCGAGCAGGGACGAAAGUCGGUCUUAGUGAUCUGACGGUGCUGAGUGGAAAGGCCGUCACUCAACGGAUAAAAGUUACUCUAGGAUAACAGGCUGAUCUCCCCCAAGAGUUCACAUCGACGGGGAGGUUUGGCACCUCGAUGUCGGCUCAUCGCAUCCUGGGGCGGUAGUACGUCCCAAGGGUUGGGCUGUUCGCCCAUGAAAGCGGUACGCGAGCUGGGUUCAGAACGUCGUGAGACAGUUCGGUCCAUAUCCGGUGUAGGCGUUAGAAUAUUGAGAGGAGCCUUCUUUAGUACGAGAGGACCGAGAAGGACAUACCUCUGGUGUACCAGUUAUCGUGCCAACGGUAAACGCUGGGUAGCCAUGUAUGGAGAGGAUAACCGCUGAAAGCAUCUAAGUGGGAAGCCCACCUCAAGAUAAGUAUUCUCAUC